rnacentral:rRNA from 1 species
CAGUCGCCGCGGUAACACGUAGGGUGCAAGCGUUAAUCGGAAUUACUGGGCGUAAGGCGUGCGCAGGCGGUGUUGUAAGACUGAUGUGAAAUCCCCGGGCUCAACCUGGGAACUGCAUUGGUGACUGCGACGCUGGAGUGCGGCAGAGGGGGAUGGAAUUCCGCGUGUAGCAGUGAAAUGCGUAGAUAUGCGGAGGAACACCGAUGGCGAAGGCAAUCCCCUGGGCCUGCACUGACGCUCAUGCACGAAAGCGUGGGGAGCAAACAGGAUUAGAUACCCCCGUAGUCCCUGUCUCUUAUAC